rnacentral:lncRNA from 1 species
UACUGUCCAUAUCCAUGACUUGUAAGAAUGCCAAAGCCAGAGAAAUAGUUAGAUUAAACUUUGAGGUUAUGCAUACUUUUGAUUAGAAGUCCUAGUCAGAUAAAUUUGUUGUAGCUAGCCAUGUCUAAGUGACUGAGUCUGAUCAAUUAGUUAGGGAUCUCUGAAUGAUGGACCUCUCUUCUCCCUCUUGAAAAGGUAAUUUUGCCUACUUGGGUAGUUUUGCUUUAUUACCAUAAAUUUCAGCACAUAUGGUAAUGUAAUAAACUUUGGAAUCCUCUUUCAUAUGUUCUUCACUUAGAGGUUGUUACCAUUGUCGGCAAGUUGUUUUUGAAGGGAAAUGGAAGAAAAUAGAACAAGCAUAUUUCAUAGUUCUUAAACGUAACGCUUUCAUUCAUCCCCUUUUUGAAAAUCAACUCGCAACUUCAUGAGUGUCCUCUUUUGUUGCCAACUUGUUUCCCUUAAUUUUUAAUGAUGUAAGAACCUUUUUUCCACGUUCUUCACUUCAUUCAAUACUUCUAUAAACCUUCUAAUGUAAGAAUAAAUCUUCCGUUAAAGUCUUCCCAACCCAAAAGCAAAGUUACAAAUUCAACCUAAACCUUUCAUAUUUUGUCCUACAAAAAUCGAAGUGGAAUCUUGCAUUAUUUAUAGCAGUUAUUGAGUUUUCCAUUUCUGACUGGUAAUAUAUUAUACAUAAAACUUUUUUCGGUAUAGACUAAUGGAUCUUGCUUCACCAGGCAAAAUGAAGAAUGAGAACAAAUGUUUAACCAACUUGUUCAAGCUAGAAAAUAAUCAGUUUUGGAGUGUUAAACAUUGUAAUCAUUUUUUUUAGAGUAUUAUGUAGCAUUAGCAUGUUCUAAUGAAAAUUACUUUCAGAUUCAGCACACAAGGUCCUAUUGAAAUGGCCAGAGUUGUUGACUCCUCUUUUUUCAAGUCUUCUAUCGGAAGUCUAUCAUGGUCCCACGAUAUUUGAUGUCCACUACCCAUGACUUGAUUUUUCAUUUACCCCCUCUGCACUUCAAGUCUUCUAUUGGAAAAGCUGCUGUACAAGUUUAACAUGCAAAAUGGUUGUAUAAAAG